rnacentral:rRNA from 1 species
UACGAAGGGGGCUAGCGUUGCUCGGAAUCACUGGGCGUAAAGCGCGCGCAGGCGGUCCUUUAAGUCAGGGGUGAAAUCCUGGAGCUCAACUCCAGAACUGCCUUUGAUACUGAAGAUCUUGAGUUCGGGAGAGGUGAGUGGAACUGCGAGUGUAGAGGUGAAAUUCGUAGAUAUUCGCAAGAACACCAGUGGCGAAGGCGGCUCACUGGCCCGAUACUGACGCUGAGGCACGAAAGCGUGGGGAGCAAACAGG